AUACGGAGGAUGCGAGCGUUAUCCGGAUUUAUUGGGUUUAAAGGGUGUGUAGGCGGUUUGUCAAGUCAGCGGUGAAACGCAAGGGCUUAACCCUUGACCUGCCGUUGAAACUGAUUGACUAGAAUGCGGAUGCUGUGGGAGGAUUGUGUGGUGUAGCGGUGAAAUGCAUAGAUAUCACACAGAACACCGAUUGCGAAGGCAUCUCACAAAUCCGUGAUUGACGCUGAGGCACGAAAGUGUGGGGAUCAAACAGGAUUAGAUACCCUGGUAGUCCACACUGUAAACGAUGAUGACUCGCUGUCGGCGAUAUACAGUCGGUGGCCAAGCGAAAGCGAUAAGUCAUCCACCUGGGGAGUACGACCGCAAGGUUGAAACUCAAAUGAAUUGGCGGGG
rnacentral:rRNA from 1 species